UGAAUACGAGAUGCUACGGCGUCGAAGCAGUGUAUGUCAGACUUCCAAGAAAAGCUCGCAAUGUCAUAAAUAAAGAAUGCCUGUACCAUAACCGACACAGGUGGGUAGGUAGAGUAUACUAAGGGGCGCGAGAUAACUCUCUCUAAGGAACUCGGCAAAAUAACUCCGAAACUUCGGGAGAAGGAGUGCCUUCUAUUAGAAGGUUGCAAUAACAAGAUCCAAGCAACUGUUUAUCAAAAACACAGGUCUCCGCUAAGUCGUAAGACGAUGUAUGGGGGCUGACGCCUGCCCAGUGCCAGAAGGUUAAAGAAGUUGGUUAGCUUUGGCGAAGCUGAUGACUGAAGCCCUGGUGAACGGCGGCCGUAACCAUAGCGGUCCUAAGGUAGCGAAAUUCCUUGUCGGGUAAGUUCCGACCCGCACGAAAGGCGUAAUGAUUUGGAUACUGUCUCGGAGAGGGACUCGGUGAAAUAGACUUGUCUGUGAAGAUGCGGACUACCUGCACCAGGACAGAAAGACCCUAUGAAGCUUUACUGUAACUUGAAAUUGAAAUUGGUCUUUAUUUGCGUAGCAUAGGUGGAAGGCGUUGAGAUUACUCUUGCGGGAGUACUGGAGCCAUCAGUGAGAUACCACUCCUAUAAUGUUAGAUUUCUAACUUUGGAUCAUGAUCUGGUCAAAGAACAGUUUCAGGCGGGCAGUUUGACUGGGGCGGUCGCCUCCCAAAUGGUAACGGAGGCGUACAAAGGUUUCCUCUGAACGGGUAGAAAUCGUAUCUAGAGUGUAAAGGCAUAAGGAAGCUUGACUGUGAGACCUACAAGUCGAGCAGGGACAAAGUCGGUCUUAGUGAUCUGACGGUGCUGAGUGGAAAGGCCGUCACUCAACGGAUAAAAGUUACUCUAAGGAUAACAGGCUGAUCUCCCCCAAGAGUUUACAUCGACGGGGAGGUUUGGCACCUCGAUGUCGGCUCAUCGCAUCCUGGGGCGGUAGUACGUCCCAAGGGUUGGGCUGUUCGCCCAUGAAAGCGGUACGCGAGCUGGGUUCAGAACGUCGUGAGACAGUUCGGUCCAUAUCCGGUGUAGGCGUUAGAAUAUUGAGAGGAGCCUUCUUUAGUACGAGAGGACCGAGAAGGACAUACCUCUGGUGUACCAGUUAUCGUGCCAACGGUAAACGCUGGGUAGCUAUGUAUGGAGAGGAUAACCGCUGAAAGCAUCUAAGUGGGAAGCCCACCUCAAGAUGAGUAUUCUCAC
rnacentral:rRNA from 1 species